ACCAAUCAUAUAUGGAACAAAAAACACACAAUCUCACUGAUAUCUCGCCCACUAAUAUUGAAAAGAUCCUUUGAAAACCUAAAAUAAUAUUGAAAACAUCUUUUAAAAACCUAAACUUUGUCUUCCUAUGUUAUUUAGGGUUCUUCAAGCGAGAGAAUGGAAGAGCAAGAGAAGCGUUGUUCAAUCGAUUUGAAUGAAACUGCUGAUCCAGGAGAAUCUAUGUCGGCGGAGAACUAUGUUCAUACAAGCACCGAAGUGAGUAUGGUUACUGAAAAUCCUAUGGAAAAUGAAGAAAACAUAAUGGGAAGAACAUUCAAGUCUGACGAUGAUGCAUAUGAAUAUUAUAAUGCUUAUGCAAGGAGAGUUGGAUUCAGCGUCAGAAAACAAUCGGCUUCAAAAAGAAAAGCAGAUAAAAAAGUUACGGGAAGGAUAUUUUGUUGUUCCCGUGAAGGUGAACGCGAAAAGCACCCUAGGGGACACCAACUAAACCUCGAGCGAUGACGCGAACUGGUUGUAUGGCAAGAAUGCAAAUUAAGAUUAAUGACGACGAAACAUAUUCUGUUGUGAGUUUUUUGACAGAGCAUAACCAUGAGCUUUCUUCCCAAGAUAAGGUGCAUUUGUUGCGAUCACAAAGAAAAAUACAACCUGCUCAAGCUACUUUGAAAAAUAAAAUGGUUUCUACUGGAUUUGGAGCAACUAGGAUUUUCUCGUAUAUGAGCGAAGAAGCAGGAGGGCCGCAAAUCUUAAUUUUACUCAAGAUUGUAAUAAUUUGGUGCAGGAAAGACGUACUGAAUAUCUAAAAGAAGGUGAUGCGAAAGUUCUUUUAGCGUAUUUCAAAAUGAACCAAAAAGAAAAUAAGUCAUUUUUCUACACUAUUCAAGUUGACGAUGAUGAUCAUAUUAUGAAUUGUUUCUGGUGCGAUGCUAAAUCUAGACUGGAUUAUAGUAUUUUUGGCGAUGCUGUUUGUUUCGACACCACAUUUAAAACUAAUGGUUAUGACAUGCCAUUUGCACCGAUUGUUAGGGUGAACAAUUGUUGUAGCAAUGUCUGGUGCAAUUCCGUUCUGUCAUUUUGUAAACAUAUACCUUUAUCACUCUAUAUUGUUUUAGCAUCUCUA